GCCCAGGCUGGUCUUGAACUCCUGAACUUAAGCAAUGCUCCCACCUUGGCCUCCUAAAGUGUUGGGAUUACAAGUGUGAGCCACCAUGCCUGACCCUGCCCUUGUAAUUUAUAUAGCCUUUUAUAAUUUCCAAAUUUCUUCUAGAUUCUUCAUAGCCACCCCCUGAAAUGGGCGAGGAUAGGAUUUUCAUCUACAUUUAGCAGAUGCCAAGAACUCAGAGAAGUGAAACAGCUUCUCCAGGGUUAGAGGGCUUAGUAAGUGUCAGUGCUGCGUGGAACCCAGGCCACUAGACUCCUGACCAGUCCCCUUCUGCACAUUCCUAUGGGUGUGGUACAAAGUCCCAAAGCUCCUUGCUGUCCCCAGGCCAAGCCUAAGCCCUCCAACUCUGGCCCUGGCUACGUAAUCCUCCCACAAAUUGUGUUCACAGAUAAGGGGACAGCCAAAGAAAUUACAGUUUCAGUGUGACCCAAACUGAAUUUUGUAUAUUUCUGCCCAGAUCUCCUCUGCUCUGCUGCCAUCAUCCUUGCUGGGUGCCAGGCACUGGGGACAUAAAGAUGAACAGGUUGGCCGGGCGCGGUGGCUUAAGCUUGUAAUCCCAGCACUUUGGGA